GACGAACGCUGGCGGCGUGCUUAACACAUGCAAGUCGAACGGAAAGGCCCUGCUUUUGUGGGGUGCUCGAGUGGCGAACGGGUGAGUAACACGUGAGUAACCUGCCCUUGACUUUGGGAUUACUUCAGGAAACUGGGGCUAAUACCGGAUAGGAGCUCCUGCUGCAUGGUGGGGGUUGGAAAGUUUCGGCGGUUGGGGAUGGACUCGCGGCUUAUCAGCUUGUUGGUGGGGUAGUGGCUUACCAAGGCUUUGACGGGUAGCCGGCCUGAGAGGGUGACCGGCCAAAUUGGGACUGAGAUACGGCCCAGACUCCUACGGGAGGCAGCAGUGGGGAAUAUUGCACAAUGGGCGGAAGCCUGAUGCAGCAACGCCGCGUGCGGGAUGACGGCCUUCGGGUUGUAAACCGCUUUCGCCUGUGACGAAGCGUGAGUGACGGUAAUGGGUAAAGAAGCACCGGCUAACUACGUG
rnacentral:rRNA from 1 species